GCACAAUGUCUUAAAAUGUAAACUCCUGUGAAACAUGCAUGAAAGGGUAUGAAGAAGUUAGACUAGCUACAUAUACUCAAGAAAAACACGUGUAAGUCCUGACUCUAUGAUGAUGUGCUCUUGUUAAACCUGAGCUGACUUACCAGAGGGACGUAUGAGAUGGAGCACUGUAUCCACAUUUCUGUGUGACAUAAUCAUGAGCUUUCCUUCUCUCUGGCAGAGCAACCUGUCUGUAGAGCCCCGGUACAGCAGGGUGCUGGCCUGAAACCAAUGUUCUGUGGGACUGGAGCCAGAAACAGGAUCAGGGUUGCAGGAAGAACCCUGAAAAGAAAGGCUCUUCUUUCAGAAAGUGGAGCUCCAUGAGCUGUCGGCAUCCCAGGGGCAGAGCAGAGGCAGAUUUUGGCUGUGAAGUUGACCCAGCCAAUGCCACGCAGGACAAGGUGGCAUUGAGAAGGUCCACAGCAGCAGCAUGUGUGCUGGAGGGGAACCACAAGCCGUGAAGGAUAGGGCAAAAGUGCCCGCUUCAUAAAUACACAUAAACAAACAAAACAGCUCACCAGCAGACAAGUAAGUGGUCUCUGAUCCAGGCAAGCAUGAUUGUUUCUCCAAUUUCUUCCCUCUCUCCAUCCUCACCAGCUCUUCCAGUUGUU
rnacentral:lncRNA from 1 species